rnacentral:rRNA from 1 species
ACGGGAGGCAGCAGUGGGGAAUUUUGGACAAUGGGCGCAAGCCUGAUCCAGCAAUGCCGCGUGCAGGAUGAAGGCCUUCGGGUUGUAAACUGCUUUUGUACGGAACGAAAAGCUCUGGGCUAAUACCUCGGAGUCAUGACGGUACCGUAAGAAUAAGCACCGGCUAACUACGUGCCAGCAGCCGCGGUAAUACGUAGGGUGCAAGCGUUAAUCGGAAUUACUGGGCGUAAAGCGUGCGCAGGCGGUUUUGUAAGACAGAGGUGAAAUCCCCGGGCUCAACCUGGGAACUGCCUUUGUGACUGCAAGGCUAGAGUACGGCAGAGGGGGAUGGAAUUCCGCGUGUAGCAGUGAAAUGCGUAGAUAUGCGGAGGAACACCGAUGGCGAAGGCAAUCCCCUGGGCCUGUACUGACGCUCAUGCACGAAAGCGUGGGGAGCAAACAGGAUUAGAUACCCUGGUA